rnacentral:lncRNA from 1 species
GAACAAGGGGAAGGCCUCCGGCGCUGAGGAUUCUGGGGAACGUAGUUCGCUCACUGGGCUGCGCACGCGCACUGGCUGCCUAGCGGCCUGGCUCAGGCGGCCGGGUGCCAUUGCUGGACGCGUUCCCGCCGUGCACUGCGAAGCCCUUCAGUUUUCCUGAGUUUCGCAGCCAGAUAUGUCUUUGUGGGACUCUACUUUUUCCAGAAAGGGGAGCACAGAGGAAGAGAUUAUGACUGCUGUGGUUUUUUCAGUUGUCCCUCUGGUAAGUUGAGAUUUCUUCCGUUCCUGAAUUGCUCUCUUGGGAUGAGAGCAUUUCUACUUUUCCCUGAAGUCUUGUGACUUUUCCACCUCUCCCACUCCCCAUGUGGGAACUGAACCAAAUGUCUUGACCCAUGAACUUGAGUUCAUCAUCUUAAUAAAGGUUCUGAUCUAUAGGAGGAUUUGCUAUACUUACCGAACCAAAUAUCAGGG